AAGUCGAACGCUGAAGCCUGGCUUUUGUUGGGUGGAUGAGUGGCGAACGGGUGAGUAACACGUGAGUAACCUGCCCCCUUYUUUGGGAUAACGCCCGGAAACGGGUGCUAAUACUGGAUAUUCACUGGUCUUYGCAUGGGGGUUGGUGGAAAGGGUUUUUCUGGUGGGGGAUGGGCUCGCGGCCUAUCAGCUUGUUGGUGGGGUGAUGGCCUACCAAGGCUUUGACGGGUAGCCGGCCUGAGAGGGUGACCGGUCACAUUGGGACUGAGAUACGGCCCARACUCCUACGGGAGGCAGCAGUGGGGAAUAUUGCACAAUGGGCGCAAGCCUGAUGCAGCGACSCCGCGUGAGGGAUGGAGGCCUUCGGGUUGUGAACCUCUUUCGCUCAWGGUCAAGCCGCAACUGUGGGUUGKGGUGAGGGU
rnacentral:rRNA from 1 species